UUGUGUCCCUAGUCACAGUGAAUGACCCUCCAGCUUGAGACUCCCACACAUACUGUUCAUCAUCGUUGUGCUUUGUGGUAACAAUAACCUUCUCGGCAACAAGGUAGGCAGAGUAGAAACCAACACCAAACUGUCCAAUCAUGCUCACAUCAGCACCAGCAGCUAUGGCUUCCAUGAAUUCCUUGGUACCAGACCUAGCAAUGGUACCUAGGUUGUUCACCAAAUCUGGAACAAAAAUACAUAGAAAUAUUAGUAAACAACAUAAAAUAUCACACGACACAGUGCUGCUACAUAAACCAAUUUCAGGCUAAGAAAAGGGAGAAAAAAAAAGCAUAUUAACUUACCAGCUUUGGUCAUUCCAAUCCCACUAUCAAUGAUAGUCAAAGUGUUGUUGGUCUUGUCAGGAAUAAUGUGAAUGAACAACUCUGGCUGAGAAUCAAGCUUGCUCUUGUCGGUCAAGCCCUCAAACCGAAUCUUAUCCAAAGCCUACAUUACAAAAUUCCAGCACAUAAUCAGAACAAUAUUCAUACCCACAACAGAAAAUCAUCUAUCACAUUAAUCAUUCAUAAAAUCGAAUCCUAACAAUCCAAAGUAAUAGUAACAAUUAUACUUCUAGAAACAAGGAUUUCUAGUCACAAACAACUUCAAUUUGAAAAUUAAAGGAUCAACAAACCUUCCAUUCAAAAAUUAAAGAGUUGAUUAUGAUUAACAUAGAUUACUUGUCACAUACAACUUUCAUUCAAAGACUAAAGUGCCGAUUAUAUCAAUAACAUUACAUAGUAUAUGAUUAAAUGAAAACAUUACACAGUAACAAAUAGAUCACAUAAUCAAGGUUGUUAUCAAUACAAACGGGACUAAUUAAAAAUUUAAUUUCAAUUUAGGUAUUUCAAGUAUCACUCUAAUAUGAAUCAACGAUAGAACAAUCAUCACAAUUUAACUUUAAAUUAAAAUCAAUGAAACCUAAACAUGACUAACAAAUCAUCACUGUUAAUCAUAAUCAACCAUCAUAAUCAUCACUGUUAAACAACAACGGAAAAAUCACAAAGAUCCUAAACAACGCCACCAACCAAAACCCUAGGAGUAUAUAAUCAAUUAACAUAAACCCUAAAAUUGAAAAAAUAAUCCAAUUAAAACGAUAACAAAAGAAAUCAUCAAAAUCAUAAUAAAAUAGAACCUAAACUAGAUCGAACCCUAAUAAAGAUAAAAAAUAAAAUAAAAAAGCAAAAAAAAAAAACGAAGAGGAAGAAGCUUACAUCGGAAGCGUUGCUGAUGAGUUCACGAAGAAAAAUCUCCUUGUUGCUGUAAAAAGUAUUGAUGAUGAGACUAAGAAGUUGAUUGAUCUCAGCCUGGAAAGCGAACGUCUCUUGUUCCGCCAUUGCCGAUCUGGUUUUUCUAGAGAGAGAAAGCGUUUGUCGUAGAGAGAGAGAGAGUGAACGAGUUUUGCAGAGUGUGAAGUGAGUGAGUUGUUAUAUAAUAAGUGUUUGCUAGGGUUUCUCGUUUUCUAGAUCCUUCUAUUUCUAUAUUUAUAAUUAUAAAUUAAAUAACUUUAUUUGUUCAAAUAAUAACUUUAACUUAAUUGCGAUUAUUUGGGUCCACUUUACUCUCAACUUACCACUUGGAUUUUUUUUUUGAAGGAACUAACCACUUGGAUGUGAAGCGUAGACUUGGUUUUCUUCUUUUUUAUUUCUUUUUCUGUUUUAUUUACACCAAUAAUAUUUGAAGGUUGAUCGAAGAUUCUACUUGGUUUUUUCAACAAAAAAAAAAACAUUCUAGUUGGUUUUAUUCUUUUAAAUAGAUAAAUUGUUUUGCAUUUAUUUUUUAUGAAAGCAUUUGGAAAGUUUUACAAAAAUUAUAUUUUUACUCCUUUCACAAAAAAAUUAUUUUUUUUUACUAUUUAUUUAGACUAAAAUACACUUUUUACCCUAAAGGUUUUUAAAACUAACGAUUUUGGUCCUCUUAUUUUGAACCUGUACCCUUUUUCAAAGCCAAUUUUGCAAAAUUGUGGUCCUCCCUAAUUUUGAAUUAAUCAGAGCAUGUUUGACACAUUUUUUCCUAAACCAAGUAUCAUCCAAGUCAUCUAUGUGAGUUUUGACACACAAAAAAAAGAGGUCUCAUGCGAUAUUUGUUGUAUAACGGGCAAAUCUACAUUGUUUAUCUUCUUCUCCAUAAAAUAGGGAUUGCUCCUUCAUCUUCCACAUCCAACUCUUUAUUGUUUCUUCUUCUUCUUCAUUCAUUCGUUCUUCCCUUUUUCAUCAAUCUCCAUUGUUUUUUUUUUUUUACUAUAAAAUAGGGAUUGGUCCUCUUAUUUCCUCUUGUUUUAUUUUUCAUAUAUAUCUCCAAAAACCGAAUCUUUUUUUUUUUUUUUGCAUAAAUAUGUCAAUAAACUCAUCCAAUUAAUUAUUUAAGUCUCUUUUGAUAUUACUGUGUGUGUAUAUAUAUAUAUUUACAGGGAUGGACAUACUCUUUAUAUUUAUACAUUCAAUUUCCAUCCAACUUUAUUUGGUGGUGUCUGGGGUUCGAACCCCAGACCUUGCAUAUACUAUGCAUUGUCCUUACCAACUGAGAUAAACUCACGGAGACUUCCAUCCAAUUGUUUGUUUCUUUAUUGUCUCUAAUUAUUCAACUUUUAUAGUUUAUACAUAUAAUAAAUUGGUUUAAUAGUAGUUUUGGCCCCCUAAGUAUUAGAAAGUUGCAAUUUUGAACCCCUAGCAAAAAUAAAAUAUAAAAUUGCCCCCUAAGUAUUGCCCCUUUUGCAGUUUUGGCCCCCCAAACCAAUGUUGACCAAGUCAGAGUUGACAUGGACAUCACGUGUGUAUUUUUUUUUAAUUAUUAAAAAAAUUAUUAUUUUUAAUUAAAAAAAUAAAAUAUUUUUUAAUUAAAAAAAAAAUACACAUGUGGCAUCCACGUGUGCAUUGACUUUUCAAAAUUGGUCUGGGGCCAAAACUGCAAAAGGGGCAAUACUUUAGGGAGCGGUUUUGUAUUUUAAUUUGUUAGGGGGCUAAAAUCGCAACUUCUUGAAACAUAGGCGCCAAAACUAAUGUUAAGCCAACAAAUCAAACUAAUUAUAAUUCGAAGUCGACUAUGCAUCCAUCAACUUCAUCUAUAUUAUUUACAAUUUGUCCUCGUGAGCUUAGCUCACUUGGUAAGAACAAUGCAUAUGCAAGGUUUGGGGUUCAAUCCUCGACCACCACAAUAAAAAAAAUCUACAAUUUUAAUUUUCUUUUUUGGUCAAGAAUUUUAAAUUUUUUUUAAUAAAACGAAUUAUCAACAUAUCCAUUUUUAUAGGGUUUUUUUUAGUCAUUCAAUUCAUAUGUUCUAUAUAUAACAAAUUAACUCACUAUCUCUAAAAAAACAAAUUAAUGAAUCAACCACUUUUGAAUCAUGCACUUUUAUACGGUGACCAAUCAUCUAUUUUUUAUGUUGAACAAUUAUAUGUACACACACUAACAUUGAGACAGACAAUGCUAGAUUAUUUUUUUUGCGCUAAUGCAUAUAAAUUAGGAAAAAUAGUUAUUAUAAAAUUUUAAUUAAAAUUAUUUUUAUUUUGAUUAAAAUAUAUGUUGACAUUUUGCGCUUUUUUAUUAUAACAAACUAUACUUAUAUUUUACAAUGACACCAACAAUAUAAGAAUUAUAAUAUAAAUUCUUAUUUUUUUUUAAUAAUACCAUAAAUAUAACAUUCUCAUAGAGGUAGAUUUAUUUAAGAGUAUAAUUAAAGGUGAAAAAACCACCGUAAAACAUUUAUUCCCUUUCCGUAGUAACUGUAUAAAUUAUUCUAUAACUCAAAUUUUAUUUAUCAUAUUUAUUUUCAUAAAAACAAUAAAAAAAAACCAACUAUACUAAUUUAAGAUUUAUAUAUAAUUAUUUAUAUUUUUCUCCAAUUUAUCUAUUUUAUUAGUUAACAUAUCUAUAUAUAUAUUAAUGUAAGACUCACUCAAAAAAAAAUUAAAGUAAGAUUAUUCAAUUUAAAGAAAUUCACUUUUAGCAUCUCUUAUUUUUUCAAAUUCACUUCAUUUCCCUUUUAUGCAUUCAAAUUCUCUUCAAUUUCGCUUUUAUAUAUUUAACAUAAAUAUAGCAACAAAUUAUAUCUGAUUUUGUUUUACAUAAAAAUCUCAAUAAACGAUGUAUAUUAAUUUGAUUUUAUCCAUUAAAUAUAUAAUUUAAUUUUUUAAUUCAUUUUUAAUAAGAAUCAAAAUUAAAUUUUACUUAAAUUUACUAAAACACACGAAAGAGAGCUUGAGAAGGAUUCAAGGAUUCAGGGACUCUCUCCUGUUAGCAAAAGGAACAAUGUCUUGGUUGCACGUUUCACUGCAUCAUAACAAUUACAGGAUGAUCUUCAAGGUCCAAUAACAGGUGUAGAUAUAGCUCAAGGUCCAAAUCAAGGAGGUAUAGACGUGGUAGUGGUUCUUCAACAACUUGAUGAUCAUAUUGAUCAUAUCCAAGGUCCAAUUCAAAAAGGUGUAGAGAUUGAUCAAGUAUCGGUGGCUCUUCAAGACUAUGCGCGUACAAGGACACUUGCUCAGAUAUUUGGUUAUAGCAAAAAUGUUGAGCAUGGAGAUUUCAUGAACUAUUCCAAGACGACAACAAUGAGUUGAUUUCGAUAUGUUUUGUUCACAAUUUUGCUGAAAAUGCAGAAUUGCUGAAGACUAUUCCAUAGAAUUUAGUUGAUUUCGAUACGUUUUGUUCACAAUUAAUCAGUAUUUUUUUUUUUUACAGGUACGUAGCCAUUAACUAAAUCAACAUUACCUAACUGUCACCCUUGUUUUCAGUAUUAUUUUUUGGCUUUCGUUGUCUUGUAUCAAAAUGUAUGGUGUUUCCUUAUUUUUAUGAAUGUCUAAAGCAAAUUACAACUUUUAAUAUAGUUCUUAAGUUACAUUUAGAAUUUCAACAAUUAAAACAAUGAAAUAUCGCCUUAACAGAACAUCUUGAUAUUGUUGUUCCUAUCUAGACGAACCUUGUUUUGCUACGCGCUUGUGCCUUUUUCCUUGAUUGAUGAUAUAAAAAUUCAACAUGUCUUGAAUUGCUAGGGGCGUUCAUUAUGCAUAAUUGUGUUAUAAAUUGCUAACACUUAUCAAAUUAUCGUGAUAUAAAAAUUCAAAAAGAAAGUAAUAGAUGUAAAAUAUUUACAAAUUACAAGUAGUAGCAUCUGAAGAGUACAACAGGGACACAACUAUUAUCUAGUGUACGUGCCUGCAUUGGCAGGCUGCCACAACAAAUGUGUCAGUAGGGUUAAACCAACAAACCUUCCUUGAAUUUGGAUUCCCAACUGGUAUGUCAAGCACAUCGGAGAAUUCCAGCAACUUCUCUUUAUUACGUUGGUCAAAAAAUAUCUUUACUUUAAUCAUUUGCUUUUCCUGCAGUAACGAUAUUUGGUUUUAGAAGCUUAAAAAGAGAAGUGGUUAAUUAUGCAUAAAAGCAAGCAACCAUUCAUUGUUAUAUAUGACUUACUUGCAAGUUACAAGCAUGCCUCAUUUUCAUGCUACAUAAAACCAGAAAACCUUUAAAUUUUACUUAGUCGCAGCUGCCUGCGAAAUACUUGGUAAAAGAUUAGCUAAAUAGAAGCAUAAUAACAUCUGUUUGACCAAUUAAUUUCAUUAUUCCAAGUAAGUGUAACGUGAAAUGAAAAAUAAGUGGUAUAAUGCAAGAGGAUUGUUCGUGAAUGUGAAGUAGGAUAUCCCUUUCCUCUCCUACCAAAGAGGAUUUUAUGGAGCAAUUUAAGAGUAUAAUCAAUCUUCUUUCCGGAUAAUUUAAGUACCACUGAAGCAUAAAAUACAAGAGUCAUAAAAAUUACUAGCUGCUACGAUGCAAAAACAUGUAUCUAAGGCAUAAAGUGCGUUAUAAACAUGAACAUGAAAAAUUAUAAGAGAAAAUUCAUAUCACACAAUUAAGGGUAACUAUGAAUCUGAGGUGAAUACCUUUUCAAUUUGAAAUUAUUAGGAUGCAUCUAUGUCAUAUGAUUUCUACCAACCUCGAAAUUGAUUUCCUUUCACGUAGAGGACAAUUGGUUGUAGGAGUUGUUGACUCUGUCUCCUUCAGUUCCUUUAUUUUCUUUUUCACCUCCUAAUGGUCAUUUCCCCUCCCGCACUUUUUUAAUCCUUUCUCAACUUCGAUAUCUUCAGAACCAUCGUCAUUUGACUUAUCGUCAACCUUAUCCUUACCAUCCAACCCCUAUUCUCGGCUUUUCUUUUCUCCUUUUCACAGUUCUUAUGUUUGACUUCAGGAAUAUCCUCUAUCCUCUAUCUCCUUUUGUUCCUUCGUUUUCCUUUUUCACCUUCCACCCUUCAACCUUUCCUUUCCUACAUUUUUCAAAUCCUUCCUCCACUUUGACAUCUUCAUUUGUCCAAUGUUGUAUGCAGAGCAGCUGUAGUUCCUUUGAAUUAUCAGUGAAAGAUUAGGGCUUACAAUGUACUUGUAUUUAAAUAUUGUGAUCCAUACUACAUUACCCCUGAAUCAUACUGCAGGGGCAGCCACAAUCCCCCACAAGAACCAUUUGGGUCAAGCCCAAGGGCAGGUCGAACAAGCAGAAAGGUCUCACCCGCUUCGCUCUUUCAACCUUGCCCACUUGCAAGAACCUAUGAGUCAUACUCAACAAAACAAGAUUAAGACCAUCCUCCAGCUAGAGUAGUGGAAUAACACAACUAUGAAAGAUACAAAACAAGAUUAUACAUACACUCCUAAAAAUAUAUUGUGACAAAUAAAAUUUGACGUUAUAGGAAAAUCAUACCUUAUUUUUUUUUGAGUUGUUAUUGAUAAAAGACACUAUAUACAUCUAUCUUUUACUUACUUUUUAUCUUAUACACCAUACAGAAAUUUGGAUAUACAUAAACAAGAAAAUAAAGAGACACUAUUUCGUGUCAGUUUUUGAUAUUCAAAUAUCAUUACUCUUUUAUUUUACAUCUAUGACAUUCUUUGACAUCCGCUUUGAUGCGUUGAGGAGGGACAUCACCACAACAUUUCCAAUCACAAAGCUUAAGUUUAAGUUUUUCUUUUUUGAUGAGAGAAGAUUAGGUAUCAUUUACUUGACCAUUUAUGUAAAAAUGGAUAUUGCAUUUGUUACUUUUCUUUCAUGACAAUAUAUGGUUUUGUAGUCAAGACUUCUUGAAGCGAUAUGAAUAUUACAUAUUUUUAGAAUAUUUUUACACAAACAACUUGUCACAUUUCAAUAAUCAAAUGGGAAACAAUGCAAUUAGAUAUAAAUCAAACACUUAAGAUUAACCAUAUUUAUAGGCCACUCCUGCUAACUCAGAGGACACAACAAAAUAGUUUGGGCAAAUUCCAAAAACAAUACCUCUCACAAUAAAAUCAAAACGUGCAACUCAAAAAAGCAUUAAAAUUAUCAAUCGCAGUCAAAGAGUGUUAAUCUGAGCUACUCUUCUCCGCAUAUACUCCAAAACCGUUUCCAAUGGCUGAAGAGAGUACGUAAUUUGGCUCUUCAAAAAUGGAGAAAUUACACUGAUCUCCCAUGAAGUCUCUUUGGAGGACACAAACAUGACUUAAAAAAAAUGUUAUUUUUCUGUUUCGGUUUCUAUUGAUGAUGAUAAUCUUCAUCCACUAAACUUAAAUUUCUGCCAUUUUUUGCAAGUUUCUCUUUAUUUCAAAUUUCAACUAUCAUAACUCGCUGCUUUCAUUGAAGAAUACCCAAAAAAAGCCAGACUAUUAACUUCUGUCUGAACAAUGUAAUUUUUUUUUUUCGCAUAGCAAUACAGCCUACAGGGUAUUUGUUAUUAUGUCUGAACAGUGUCUAACGCAAGAGUGUCUACUGUAUUUCAUAAGUUGUUGGAUUUAAUGGAUUAUGGCUAGAAAAAAAAACAAUAAUCCCUCCAUUUAUCACUUUUGAAGAAUAAUUUUGUUUCAAUUUACCUGUCACUUUUAUAUUUCAAUGCAAUAUUAAGAAGAAUAAAAUGAGAACGGAAUUUAUCCAACGAGAACCAAAGAAAAAGACUUGUGCUUUACGUCUUUUGUGUUGGAACUUGGAAUGUUGGGUGUUGAGUGUAGAGAAGGUAAAUCAGAUCAUUAGUUUUUCUUUUUAUAAAAAUAAUUUGAUAGAAAACGGUGUCAAACAUUAGAGAAAAUCACCGUAAAAUAACUUAGAGGGAUGUUCGUGUCGUUUAAAUAGACCUUCAAAAAAUAUGAGCGUAUUUUUCCCUUAAAAAAAAUUCCAAUCAUAAUGUCUUAAAACACAUCACCUUUCAUCUCUAUUUUUCAGAUCUAUUUUCACCGUUAUUUGUGAAAUAAAGUCCGCAUUAAAAACGAAUAAAAGAUAUAAAUCCAUAAAUCAAAAAUUGGCAUACCAACACUAUAAUGAUGUUUCUACCAACAAAAACACUAUAUCGUUUAUUUCUUUAAGACUAACUUUUUGGUUCGAUAAAUUGAUAAGAUAGAUAUUUAGUACUUCUCUAAAAUAAUCAAUAACCAAUGAGUUGUUUUUUUUUUCUUUCAGAGAUGAAUGAAAGGAAGAAACAAAUGACGGAAUGUAAUAAUAAAAUAAAGAAAAAUGAUAUUAGAACAAUCAUUUUCUACAACUUUUUUGACAACUUUCUCUCUCAUAUUUACAUUAUCUUUUUACUUUUUCUCUCUAUUCCUUUGAUCUUUGUGUCACUACCAUUUCCUUUAUAAAAUUUUGACUGUCAUAAAAGUUGACACAUAUAUCGAUGUUCAAAUAACACAACUUUAAACUAAACAAAAACGUACCUUUACAGCAAAAAAAACACCUUAAAAACAAUAACUAAUAAGGAAGUUAAAAUAUACUUGUAAAUUGGCCAGUUAUAUACGAACGCAUUCUUCAGCUUCGCUUCACCGGUCCAGAAAAUAAAGUAUGAGCACAGAAGCACGAAUUUGUAUCAAAAUAUAAAAGGACACACCAACGAUUGUCAACAAUUGACACACCAAAAGUUACGAUACGUAAACAAUAGCUACGCUGGUCCAGAAAAUUGCAUCUAAUAAAUUCCAAAAUUCAAAAUUAAAGAAAAAACAUGAUAAAAAUACUGUUUCUCAACCUCACGCCUUCCUAAACAAUAGCAUCUAUUUCAAAAUUAAUCGACCUCUUCCAUCUUGCUACCCUCUGCAUCAGCAUCAGCUUCCUCCAAUGGUGGCAUGUCAGCAUCAGCUUCUGCUGCAUCCUCAUCAAUGCUAAGUCCAAGCUUGAGCAUCCUGUGAAUCCUGUUGCCAAAGGUGUUGGGCUCAUCAAGGCUGAAUCCAGAGGUAAGAAGAGCAGUCUCAAACAGCAAGAGGACAAGAUCCUUCACAGAUUUGUCAUUCCUAUCAGCAUCAGCACGUUUCCUCAGCUCCUCCAUAAUGGGAUUCUCAGGGUUGAUUUCCAUUGUCUUCUUGCUUGACAUGUAACCAGCCAUGCUGCUAUCCCUCAAAGCCUGUGCCUUCAUGAUCCUCUCCAUGUUGGCAGUCCAACCAUACUCACCAGUCACUAGACAGCAAGGAGAGUCCACAACUCGGUCAGAAACAACCACUUUCUCAACCUUGUCGCCCAACACUUCCUUGAUCACCUUGCAGAGGUUGUCAAAUUUCUCCUUCUGUUCAUCCAUCUUUUUCUUUUCAUCCUCGCUCUCAUCAAGUUUCAAACCUUCCUUAGUUGCAGAUACCAGCUUCUUUCCCUCAAAUUCCUUGAGCUGGCCAACAGCAUAUUCAUCUAUAGCGUCAACCAUGUAAAUCACUUCAUAUCCCUUCUUCCUAAGUUUCUCAAGGAAGGGGGAAUUCUCAACAGCUUUCUUGCUUUCACCGGUGAUGUAGUAAAUGUCAUUCUGUCCUUCCUUCAUCCUGGUAACGUAGUCCUUGAGGCUGGUCAUGUCAUCACCACUCUUGGUGGAGUGGUACCUGAGCAAAUCAGCAAGCUUUGUCUUGUUUUGAGAAUCCUCAUGGAUACCCAGCUUCAAGUUCUUAGAGAAGGCCUCAUAGAACUUGUUGUAGUCUUCCUUGUUCUCAGCAAUUUCAAAGAAAAGCUCAAGGCACUUCUUCACCAAGUUCUUCCUUAUGACCUUGAGAAUCUUGUUCUGUUGAAGCAUCUCUCUUGAAAUGUUAAGUGGGAGAUCUUCAGAGUCCACAAUACCCUUCACAAAGCUAAGAUACUCAGGCAUCAACUCCUCACAGUUGUCCAUGAUGAAAACACGGCGGACAUACAGCUUGAUGUUGUUGGGCUUCUUCUUUGUGUCAAAGAGAUCAAAAGGUGCUCUCUUGGGUACAAAGAGAACAGCCUUAAACUCCAACUGACCCUCAACUGAGAAGUGCUUAACAGCCAAAUGCUCUUCCCAAUCAUUGGUGAGACUCUUGUAAAAAGCAGCAUACUCAUCCUUUGUAAUCUCCUCGGGCUUCCUCAUCCAAAUAGGUUUUUGCUUGUUCACCAAAGACCAUUCAUUAGACACCUCCUUAAUCUUUUUCUUUUUCUUCUCUUCCUUUUCUUUCUCCUCAUCUACUUCCUCAACCUUACCCUCCUCUUCCUUCUUCUCUUCCUCAUCCUCAUCAUCAGAAAUCUCUUUCUCAAUAGUCUUCUCAACCCAAAGAGAAAUUGGAUAGCUGAUAAAUUCAGAAUGUUUCUUAACCAAGUCCUUCAGACGGCGUUCCUCAAGAUACUCAAGUUGAUCCUCCUUGAGGAUGAGAGUUAUCUUAGUUCCCCUGCCAAGAGCUUCGCCAGUUGUGUCCCUAGUCACAGUGAAUGACCCUCCAGCUUGAGACUCCCACACAUACUGUUCAUCAUCGUUGUGCUUUGUGGUAACAAUAACCUUCUCGGCAACAAGGUAGGCAGAGUAGAAACCAACACCAAACUGUCCAAUCAUGCUCACAUCAGCACCAGCAGCUAUGGCUUCCAUGAAUUCCUUGGUACCAGACCUAGCAAUGGUACCUAGGUUGUUCACCAAAUCUGGAACAAAAAUACAUAGAAAUAUUAGUAAACAACAUAAAAUAUCACACGACACAGUGCUGCUACAUAAACCAAUUUCAGGCUAAGAAAAGGGAGAAAAAAAAAG
rnacentral:lncRNA from 1 species